UAUUAUGCAAAUGGCUUGUCAUCAAUCGGGGAUGUGGCUGCUCCUCCCUAUAAAUGGGCCAAAGGGGGGCAGUGGGAGUCAGAGUGUUGGACAGGGGAGAUAGGAGGAGGUGGCGGAGGAGGAGGUGGUGGUGGAGGAGGAGGAGAAGGUGGCGGAGGAGGAGGCGGUGGAGGAGGAGGCCAAGGAGGAGGUUUGCUCAGCUACAGCAAGCCAUGGGAUUUUUGCUGUUUAAACUUUUAACUCCUUGA
rnacentral:lncRNA from 1 species